UACGGAGGGUGCAAACGUUGCUCGGAAUUACUGGGCGUAAAGCGCGUGUAGGCGGCUUAGCAAGUCUUGUGUGAAAGCCCUGGGCCUAACCCAGGAAGUGCACAGGAAACUGCUAAGCUAGAGUGCGAGAGAAGAGGGCGGAAUUCCCGGUGUAGAGGUGAAAUUCGUAGAUAUCGGGAGGAACACCAGAAGCGAAAGCGGCUCUCUGGACCGACACUGACGCUGAGACGCGAAAGCGUGGGGAGCAAACAGG
rnacentral:misc_RNA from 1 species